CAAGGCGGGUGCCGAGGUUUGCAAGGGCUCACAGUGGCCAGAAACCUGGCUCAGUGCGGUGGCAGCCCAGCUUCCACUGCCCGUGAGCUAAGGACAGUCCACUCCCUCUCGCUGGCUCCAAAUCCUGAUCCAGGCAGGGGCCAGAGGCCCCUCGCCUCCCCUCUGAGGACCGAAGAUGAGCUUCCUCUUCAGCAGCUGCUCUUCUAAAACAUUCAAACUGAAGAAGAAUAUCCCUGAAGGAUCUCAUCAGUAUGAACUCUUAAAACAUGCAGAAGCAACUCUAGGAAGUGAGAAUCUGAGACAAGCUGUUAUGUUGCCUGAGGGAGAGGAUCUCAAUGAAUGGAUUGCUGUAAAUACUGUGGAUUUCUUUAACCAGAUCAACAUGUUAUAUGGAACUAUUACAGAAUUCUGCACUGAAGCAAGCUGUCCAGUCAUGUCUGCAGGUCCAAGAUAUGAAUAUCACUGGGCAGAUGGUACUAAUAUUAAAAAGCCAAUCAAAUGUUCUGCACCAAAAUACACUAUUUGAUGACUUGGGUUCAGGAUCAUCUUGAUGAUGAAACUCUUUUUCCUUCUAAGAUUGGUGUCCCAUUUCCCAAGAACUUUAUGUCUGUGGCAAAGACUAUUCUAAAGCGUCUGUUCAGGGUUUAUGGCCAUAUUUAUCACCAGCACUUUGAUUCUGUGAUGCAGCUGCAAGAGGAGGCCCACCUCAACACCUCCUUUAAGCACUUUAUUUUCUUUGAUCAGGAAUUUAAUCUAAUUGAUAGGUGUGAGCUGGCCCCUCUUCAAGAAUUAAUAGAGGAAUUUGGAUCAAAAGACAGAUAAAUGUUUCUUCUAGAACACAGUUACCCUCUUGUUUCAUCUAUUGCUAGAACUAUCUCAUUGCUAUCUGUUAUAGACUAGUCAUGCAGACUUUAAGAAAACAGGAUUAAAAGAUACCCAUUGUCUGUGUCUACUGAUAAGAUUAUCCCAAAAGUAGGUUGGCAUGAUAGUUUCCAAGUAAGACCUUAAAGACACAGCCAAAUCUUAAGUACUGUGUGACCACUCCUGUUAUUAUCACAUAGGCAUACUUGGUUGUAAUAUGUGAUGGUUAACCUGUAGCUUAUAAAUUUACUUAUUAUUCUUUUACUCAUUUACUCAGUCAUUUCUUUACAAGAAAAUGAGUGAAUCUGUUUUAGGUGACAGCAUAAUGGACGUGAAGAAUUUCCAUCAAUAAUUUAUGAAUGAGUUUCCAGAACAAAUUUCUUAAUAACACUAUCAGAUUGGAUUUAUUCUUUUAUUUUACAAAUAAAAAAUGUAUUUUCAGUAAAAAAAA